GCAGGGCACAGUGGCACCUGCCUGUAGUCCCAGCUACUCAGGGGGCUGCGGUGGGAGGAUCGUUUGAGCCCAGGAGUUCUGGACUGUAGUGUGCUAUGCCAAUCAGGUGUCUGCACUAAGUUUGGCAUCAAUAUGGUGACCUCCCAGGAGCAGGAGACCACCAGGUUGCCUAAGGAGGGUUGAACCAGCCCAGUUUGGAAACGGAGCAGGUCAAAACUCCCGUGCUGAUCAGUAGUGGGAUCUCGCCUGUGAAUAGCCACUGCACUCCAGCCUGGGCAAUAUAGCGAAACCCCGUCUCU
ensembl:misc_RNA Metazoa_SRP Metazoan signal recognition particle RNA